AGACCCGACCUGAAGUUUCAGUGUACUCCGCAAGCUUUUCAAGUUAUAAAUCAUGGAGACCAGUCAGGAAACUUCCCUCUUCUUGGUGAAGAUCUUGGAGGAACUGGACAGCAAGCAAAAUACCGUUUCUUAUCAGGACCUGUGCAAAUCUCUGUGUGCGCGGUUCGAUCUGUCGCAGCUUGCCAAACUGAGAAGCGUGCUCUUCUACACGGCCUGUCUCGAUCCCAAUUUUCCAGCCACGCUCUUCAAAGACAAGAUGAAAUGCACUGUGAAUAACCAGCAAUCGAAGAAAAUCAUGGUGGCCGCAGAUAUAGUGACGAUAUUCAACCUGAUCCAAAUGAAUGGCGGGGCCGCCAAGGAGAAGCUGCCUACGGGCCACCAGAAGGCGCGCAAGAAGGAGGCGUCCUUUGACUCGCGCAGGACGGACGCAGACGUCUGCAAUUCAGCCGAGUGUGAGCCCCUGAACUGCCAGCUGAGUGAGAGGUCUUUCAGCCGGGGCCACCCCACCAGGCAGUCGUCCAAGUGCCGGAAGCUAGACUGCAAGGACUGCCUGCAGUUCAUCCCUGCCUCUGAGCCUAACUUCCUCUUGGGGGUUAGCAAAGAGGUGAAACACCGAGCUGCUUCCCUGGACAGGCUGCAGGCGCUGGCCCCUUACUCUGUGACCAGCCCUCAGCCCUGUGAGAUGCAGAGGACGUAUUUCCCCAUGAACAUUGAAAACGAGUCCAUUUCAGACCAGGAUUCCCUGCCCAUCAACCAGAGCAUCAAGGAGACCUUCAUUUCCAAUGAGGAGCCAUUUGUGGUCCAGUCCUGUGUCCAGAAAAGGAACAUCUUUAAAGAGGAUUUUCACAAUUUGAUGGCAGUGUCCCCCAGUAUGGUUGGCCCCAUCAGCAAAGCAGAGAAUGAGCACGGGGAAUCCCAGAGUCGAAAGGAACCCCACAAGCCACCCUUCUUUAACCACAGCUUUGAAAUGCCCUAUAACAGCCAGUACCUGAACCCGGUGUAUUCCCCUGUUCCUGACAAAAGGCGAGCAAAGCACGAAAGCUUAGAUGACCUUCAAGCCUCUACAUACUUCGGGCCCACUCCCGUGAUGGGGACCCAGGAAGCCAGGCGCUGUCCAGGGAGGCCCAGCAAGCAGACUCCAUGGCCAGCCAAAAGCUGGAGCCUGAACACGGAGGAAGUUCCUGACUUUGAACGGUCCUUUUUCAAUAGAAAUCCCUCCGAGGAGAAGCUACGCUAUCCAAAUGCCAGUAGCCAGACUCCCAAUUUCCCAGCCCCAGACAGGUGCCCGACUUACCUCGUGCCAAACGAUCCGCAGUCAAUUCUCCCCAUUGCUUAUGCAGCAAAACCAAACGGGCUCAAAUCUAAAGAGAUCUCCUCCCCUGUAGACCUGGAGAAGCAUGAACCCAUCAAAAAGUUUAAAGACAAGAGCAUUAACUGCACCAGCAGGCAGCUCAGCUCAGACACCAGCAGCGUGGGCACCCAGACCGAGCACGUGCUGGAGCCCAAGAAGUGCAAAGACCCGUGCACCUCCGGUCAGGGCAAGUAUGGUGACAGGCACGCCAUGAAGCACUCAGACGAUGACUCGGAAGUUGUCAGUGACGACAUCAGUGACAUUUUCCGAUUUCUUGACGACAUGAGCAUCAGUGGCUCCACGGGAGUGAUACAGUCAUCCUGCUACGACAGCACAGGGUCCUUGUCUCAGCUCCAUAAGUCCGACUGCGACAGCUCCCCCGAGCACAACUUAACCAAAAUUGCCAAUGGGGUCCCCAACAGCAAGGGAGACAAAGGCAGCCGGCCUGAGAACACCCACCACUCGGAAGAAGAGCUGAAGACCAGCGUGUGCAAACUGGUGGUCAGGAUCGGCGAAAUCGAACGGAAGCUGGAAUCCCUGUCGGGUGUCCGUGAGGAGAUCUCCCAGGUCUUGGGCAAACUAAAUAAAUUAGACCAGAAAAUGCAACAGCCUGAGAAGGUGAAUGUGCAGAUGGACCUGAACUCGUUGACGAGCGAGGCUCCGUCUGACGACAGUGCCUCUCCCCGGGUGUUCCGCACACACAGUAGCACCCAUGGACCCAAACUGGAGAACAAUCCUGACUGGUGCUGUUCUGAUGCUAGUGGGAGCAACAGCGAAACCCUGCGGGUCAAGGCCUUAAAAAAAAGCCUCUUCACCAGGCCGUCCUCUAGGUCUCUAACGGAGGAGAACAGUGCCACGGAGUCCAAAAUUGCCAGCAUCUCCAACUCACCCAGAGACUGGCGUACCAUCACUUACACCAACCGCGUAGGCCUCAGUGAGGAGGAGAUAAAAGACCCGGGCCCAGGAGAGAGUAAAGACUGGCAUCGGAAAUCUAAAGAGGCAGACAGGCAGUACGACAUCCCCCCACAGCACCGACUGCCCAAGCAGCCCAAAGAUGGCUUCCUGGUGGAGCAGGUGUUCAGCCCGCACCCCUACCCUGCGUCCCUCAAAGCCCACAUGAAGAGCAACCCCCUGUACACUGACAUGCGGCUGACCGAGCUGGCCGAGGUGAAGCGAGGCCAACCUUCCUGGACCAUUGAGGACUAUGCACGGAACACGGGCGACAAGGGCAAGCUGACAGCCCUGGACCUGCAGCACGUGGGAUAAGCAUAUUUGUGGGAGCCCAGCUAUGGAUUAUGUUUCCAUACGGAGCCACCCCAGACACAAGAAUCUUUAAACCCAAACAACUUAGAGUACUGGAUGGAAGACAUUUAUACUCCAGGCUACGAUUCAUUACUAAAACGUAAAGAAGCCGAAUUCAGACGAGCCAAGGUCUGCAAGAUAGCUGCUCUGAUCGCUGCCGCGGCGUGCACGGUCAUUCUGGUGAUUGUCGUGCCCAUCUGCACAAUGAAAUCAUGAGCUGAGAAUGCAACCUGCGUGCGGCGUGCGACUACUGACGUCUUGUCUGUGUUUUAGAAUCUUGCAGCAGUGAGGCAACAGUCUGUUGAGAUCGAGAUGAAAUCAUGGAAGCUUUUUUGCAAAUGUUGAAUGAAGGCGGUUUUUAGAAAAUGCACAUUCUAGUGAGAAAUCUACCCACAUAUUAGCUUUGACUUAAUGACACUCGAUGCAUUUUUAGAAGUGCAAUAUCUUUUCCUACCAAAAGAAUGUAAUGGACUAGCAGUAAAUACAAAUUGACUAUCCCAAGCCAAAAAAAAAAAAAAAAGAGAGAAAGAUUAAUUGGGUUCUUUCCGUUUUGAUAAUGUUUAAUGGUGAGGAAUAAGUUAUGCAGAAGAUGUUUAAUACAUGCCUCUUUAGAAGAAACUAAGGGAAAUAUCAACAUAAGACGGAAAGAGGGUGAGUUCUCUUUUCCAUAAUGCUCUUAGACCAUUGCUGGUGAAGUAACAGGGUGCAUGUCCCUAACGGGUAUUCCGUCUCUGCCGACUUUCAUCAAGGGCUACUGACUUUCAUUGAUGCCCUUUUGCCAUCAACAUGACAGAAUGUCUGCAUCACUGCAGACUUUCAUGGAAACAUUCUGGACCUUCUUCCUUGUGCCUGGGGUAAGAAGGAGCUGGACUACCCACUCAGGCGUGGAAUGAAGUGUUCAGACUGCAUGAUGGCCAAGGUAUUCAGGCCAGGAGACCUUCCCGUCCUCAGUCCAAAGUGUAGGGGAGUUGCUUGCCAAUGACGUAAGGUCAAGUCUUUGAAAAUCACGGCCACUCCAAAGAUCUCCUGUUCCUGCUUUUGGUGUAUGGCUGUAUUCCGUAAUUUUCUAUCUCCUGGUAUAUCAGAGGCUCUGCCUCUCAUUCAUGAGUUGAAGAGUUUGGAACCUCUCCUUGUGCCUUGAAGAGCAGAGACAAUGGCUAAACCUUGACAUUCUAUCCGUAAACCACGGUUUUCAUGCACCGCCAAUGUCAGCCAUUUUCAGUGGCUUUAAAAUGAUUUUGAAAGCUUGUUCAAUAAUAUAAUAACAAUAAAGGCACUGGGGUUUUCUCAGUGACCACAACACCUACUCCAGAGUUUUGAAUACCUUAUCAGCAGUGCAAAAAAAUAUUAUCUAUUUAACCACUUAUCUAUAUGUCUAUCUA